GUGGGGAAGAGAUGGGACGGGCAGGGAAGGAAGUAGAUGGAUAGAGUUUGGGGAUAGGAGGGAAGGGGAUAGAUUUGGUUGUUUUUCGGAAAAAAAAAAACCUUGUGUUUUUCAUGUUUACAGUGCUGCCCCUAAGAGCAGAAUUUUCUCUUCUUCGUGUCGCAUUUCUUUAAAAGC
rnacentral:pre_miRNA from 1 species